UACGUAGGGUGCGAGCGUUGUCCGGAAUUAUUGGGCGUAAAGAGCUCGUAGGCGGUCUGUCGCGUCGGAUGUGAAAACCCAGGGCUCAACCCUGGGCCUGCAUUCGAUACGGGCAGGCUAGAGUUCGGUAGGGGAGAUCGGAAUUCCUGGUGUAGCGGUGAAAUGCGCAGAUAUCAGGAGGAACACCGGUGGCGAAGGCGGAUCUCUGGGCCGAUACUGACGCUGAGGAGCGAAAGCGUGGGGAGCGAACAGG
rnacentral:rRNA from 1 species